rnacentral:rRNA from 1 species
UACGUAGGGCGCAAGCGUUAUCCGGAAUUAUUGGGCGUAAAGAGCUCGUAGGCGGCUUGUCGCGUCGUCCGUGAAAACUUGGGGCUCAACCCCAAGCUUGCGGUCGAUACGGGCAGGCUAGAGUUCGGUAGGGGAGACUGGAAUUCCUGGUGUAGCGGUGAAAUGCGCAGAUAUCAGGAGGAACACCGGUGGCGAAGGCGGGUCUCUGGGCAGUAGCUGACACUGAGGCGCGACAGCGUGGGGAGCAAACAGG